rnacentral:rRNA from 2 species
UGAUCAUGGCUCAGGACGAACGCUGGCGGCGUGCCUAAUACAUGCAAGUCGAGCGGACAGAAGGGAGCUUGCUCCCGGAAGUCAGCGGCGGACGGGUGAGUAACACGUAGGUAACCUGCCCCUUAGACUGGGAUAACUCCGGGAAACCGGAGCUAAUACGGGAUAAUAAAGAGAAUCACCUGAUUCUCUUUUGAAAGACGGUUUCGGCUGUCACUAAGGGAUGGGCCUGCGGCGCAUUAGCUAGUUGGUAAGGUAACGGCUUACCAAGGCGACGAUGCGUAGCCGACCUGAGAGGGUGAUCGGCCACACUGGGACUGAGACACGGCCCAGACUCCUACGGGAGGCAGCAGUAGGGAAUCUUCCGCAAUGGACGAAAGUCUGACGGAGCAACGCCGCGUGAGUGAGGAAGGCCUUCGGGUCGUAAAGCUCUGUUGUGAGGGAAGAACAAGUACCGGCGUAACUACCGGUACCUUGACGGUACCUCACCAGAAAGCCACGGCUAACUACGUGCCAGCAGCCGCGGUAAUACGUAGGUGGCAAGCGU